CCUACGGGUGGCAGCAGUGGGGGAUAUUGCACAAUGGGGGAAACCCUGAUGCAGCGACGCCGCGUGGGUGAAGAAGCGCCUCGGCGCGUAAAGCCCUUUCAGCAGGGAAGAAAAUGACGGUACCUGAAGAAGAAGCCCCGGCUAACUACGUGCCAGCCGCCGCGGUAAUACGUAGGGGGCAAGCGUUAUCCGGAUUUACUGGGUGUAAAGGGGGCGCAGGCGGCUAUGGAAGCGGGGAGUGAAAGCCCGGGGCCCAACCCCGGGACUGCUGUUGGAACUGCGUGGCUAGAGUGCAGGAGGGGCAGGCGGAAUUCGUGGUGUAGCGGUGAAAUGCGUAGAUAUCAGGAGGAACACCGGUGGCGAAGGCGGCCUGCUGGACUGCAACUGACGUUGAGGCCCGAAGGCGUGGGGAGCAAACAGGAUUAGAUACCCUUGUAGUC
rnacentral:rRNA from 1 species